UGGGGAAUAUUGCACAAUGGGCGCAAGCCUGAUGCAGCCAUGCCGCGUGUGUGAAGAAGGCCUUCGGGUUGUAAAGCACUUUCAGCGAGGAGGAAGGUGGUGAGCUUAAUACGCUCAUCAAUUGACGUUACUCGCAGAAGAAGCACCGGCUAACUCCGUGCCAGCAGCCGCGGUAAUACGGAGGGUGCAAGCGUUAAUCGGAAUUACUGGGCGUAAAGCGCACGCAGGCGGUUUGUUAAGUCAGAUGUGAAAUCCCCGGGCUCAACCUGGGAACUGCAUUUGAAACUGGCAAGCUAGAGUCUCGUAGAGGGGGGUAGAAUUCCAGGUGUAGCGGUGAAAUGCGUAGAGAUCUGGAGGAAUACCGGUGGCGAAGGCGGCCCCCUGGACGAAGACUGACGCUCAGGUGCGAAAGCGUGGGGCAGCAAACAGGAUUAGAUACCCUGGUAGUCCAGCGCUGUAAACGAUGUCGAUUUUGGAGGUUGUGCCCUUGAGGCGUGGCUUCCGGAGCUAACGCGUU
rnacentral:rRNA from 1 species